CAAAUCUCAUGGAAUGUCAAGAGUACAUUGUAAUUACUUUGCCACUCACUGUCAAAUCUUUCUUCUAAUUUCCCCUACAAUAUAGGUAUCCUACAUGCUCCAGGGAGCUACAAGAAAUGGAAUUACGCCCAACUGGAACCGGAACGGUCCAGGAGAGAAGAUUUGCUCUCAGGGAAGACACAGUUGAAGGCUGGCAGUGGUGUUUCCUUUAGUAGUGACACGUUUUCUCAUGCUUUGCAAUUCCAAAAGAGGAGCAGAUCUCCAGGGAAGUCCACUAAAAUGACUAAGAGGACUACUUCUGUGCAAAAAGAUCAGCGUCCCAAAAAAGGUACAACAUUUACAAGUAAAGUAUUAUAUUCAGAGUUUCCUAUAAAAGAGUCAUCCACAACAUCUCCCACCCACCCCCAACUAAAAUAGCAGCAUUAAUCCAAAGUAUUUUCUUCCGAUUUUAACAUUGUCAUAUUUUACACUAACAAAAGCAUAUCCCAUGUUUUGAAAAAUGAAAAGGAACAAGUCAAUUGGUUGGGUUUGCAAUACCAGUGAAGAUAAUAUUAUGCAGCUAUUCCAUGUUAGAAAUAAAUGGACUUGUCUUAAGGGUAGCAUAGAUCAUCUUCAGGUUCCCAUGGGACAGGACAAUAAAUCCUUGUCUAUGAUUUAAUUAAAAACUCAAUUUAAUUAAAGACUUCAGUGUGGUAGGAGUUGGUUUGAUUACUUCUUUAUUUCUUAGAAAUGUAACAUCUGAUGAAUCUGAAACUAGCCCUGUACAGAAUAGAAGCGUAUUUCAUACAUGUUGUCUAGUUAAGCAUUUAUUUUGGGAGAAAAAAUCUAAUAAUCUAUAUAGCCCAGGUUUUUCCCAACUCUAGAGUGAACCUUUUUGUUUGUUUGUUUUCCUUGAUAAAACAAAGGAUAUAUGAUAACAGGUAUCAGAAGGGUAGUUUGUGGGGAUGAACUUUUUCUUCUCUAGUUGCUCCAGAUAAUCAAGGUAAUCAACAAAAAGGGGUUAUCUCUUAUUUCAUUUAUCUUUAUAUGAGAUCUGGGAUCUCAUAUAAAUUCUGUCCAAACCCAUUGCUUGUCUUUAUCUUUAUUGAUUAAUGGAAGAGAUUGUUUCAACUGAAAUGUAUAUAGUAUUUGUAAUCUCGCAUCCAAAGAA
rnacentral:lncRNA from 1 species